rnacentral:rRNA from 1 species
GGUGUAGCGGUGAAAUGCUUAGAUAUCACACAGAACACCGAAUGCGAAGGCAGCACACUAAGUCAUUAUUGACGCUGAGGCACGAAAGUGUGGGGAUCAAACAGGAUUAGAUACCCUGGUAGUCCACACUGUAAACGAUGAUAACUCGCUGUCGGCGAUACACAGUCGGUGGCCAAGCGAAAGCAUUAAGUUAUCCACCUGGGGAGUACGACCGCAAGGUUGAAACUCAAAGGAAUUGACGGGGGCCCGCACAAGCGGAGGAACAUGUGGUUUAAUUCGAUGAUACGCGAGGAACCUUACCCGGGCUCGAACGGUGCAUGAAUAUACGAGAGAUUGUAUAGUCCUUCGGGACAUGUAUCGAGGUGCUGCAUGGUUGUCGUCAGCUCGUGCCGUGAGGUGUCGGCUUAAGUGCCAUAACGAGCGCAACCCUUGUCAUUAGUUGCCAUCAGGUCAAGCUGGGGACUUUAAUGAGACUGCCACCGUAAGGUGUGAGGAAGGGGGGGAUGACGUCAAAUCAGCACGGCCCUUAUGUCCGGGGCGACACACGUGUUACAAUGGGAGGUACAGAGGGCAGCUAUCCGGUGACGGAAUGCUAAUCUCCAAAACCUUUCUCAGUUCGGAUUGGAGUCUGCAACUCGACUCCAUGAAGGUGGAUUCGCUAGUAAUCGCGCAUCAGCCAUGGCGCGGUGAAUACGUUCCCGGGCCUUGUACACACCGCCCGUCAAGCCAUGGAAGCUUGGGGUGCCUGAAGUUCGUGACCGCAAGGAGCGACCUAAGGCAAAACAGGUAACUGGGGCUAAGUCGUAACAAGGUAACCUAAAGGGCGAAUCGUAACUCG